AUAUUGAACGCUGGCGGCAGGCCUAACACAUGCAAGUCGAGCGGUAGCACAGAGAGCUUGCUCUCGGGUGACGAGCGGCGGACGGGUGAGUAAUGUCUGGGAAACUGCCUGAUGGAGGGGGAUAACUACUGGAAACGGUAGCUAAUACCGCAUAACGUCGCAAGACCAAAGUGGGGGACCUUCGGGCCUCAUGCCAUCAGAUGUGCCCAGAUGGGAUUAGCUAGUAGGUGGGGUAACGGCUCACCUAGGCGACGAUCCCUAGCUGGUCUGAGAGGAUGACCAGCCACACUGGAACUGAGACACGGUCCAGACUCCUACGGGAGGCAGCAGUGGGGAAUAUUGCACAAUGGGCGCAAGCCUGAUGCAGCCAUGCCGCGUGUGUGAAGAAGGCCUUCGGGUUGUAAAGCACUUUCAGCGGGGAGGAAGGCGUUAAGGUUAAUAACCUUGGCGAUUGACGUUACCCGCAGAAGAAGCACCGGCUAACUCCGUGCCAGCAGCCGCGGUAAUACGGAGGGUGCAAGCGUUAAUCGGAAUUACUGGGCGUAAAGCGCACGCAGGCGGUCUGUCAAGUCGGAUGUGAAAUCCCCGGGCUCAACCUGGGAACUGCAUUCGAAACUGGCAGGCUAGAGUCUUGUAGAGGGGGGUAGAAUUCCAGGUGUAGCGGUGAAAUGCGUAGAGAUCUGGAGGAAUACCGGUGGCGAAGGCGGCCCCCUGGACAAAGACUGACGCUCAGGUGCGAAAGCGUGGGGAGCAAACAGGAUUAGAUACCCUGGUAGUCCACGCCGUAAACGAUGUCGAUUUGGAGGUUGUGCCCUUGAGGCGUGGCUUCCGGAGCUAACGCGUUAAAUCGACCGCCUGGGGAGUACGGCCGCAAGGUUAAAACUCAAAUGAAUUGACGGGGGCCCGCACAAGCGGUGGAGCAUGUGGUUUAAUUCGAUGCAACGCGAAGAACCUUACCUGGUCUUGACAUCCACAGAACUUUCCAGAGAUGGAUUGGUGCCUUCGGGAACUGUGAGACAGGUGCUGCAUGGCUGUCGUCAGCUCGUGUUGUGAAAUGUUGGGUUAAGUCCCGCAACGAGCGCAACCCUUAUCCUUUGUUGCCAGCGGUUCGGCCGGGAACUCAAAGGAGACUGCCAGUGAUAAACUGGAGGAAGGUGGGGAUGACGUCAAGUCAUCAUGGCCCUUACGACCAGGGCUACACACGUGCUACAAUGGCAUAUACAAAGAGAAGCGACCUCGCGAGAGCAAGCGGACCUCAUAAAGUAUGUCGUAGUCCGGAUUGGAGUCUGCAACUCGACUCCAUGAAGUCGGAAUCGCUAGUAAUCGUAGAUCAGAAUGCUACGGUGAAUACGUUCCCGGGCCUUGUACACACCGCCCGUCACACCAUGGGAGUGGGUUGCAAAAGAAGUAGGUAGCUUAACCUUCGGGAGGGCGCUUACCACUUUGUGAUUCAUGA
rnacentral:rRNA from 1 species